UGAGUAACCUGCCCUUAACUCUGGGAUAAGCCUGGGAAACUGGGUCUAAUACCGGAUAUGACUCCUCAUCGCAUGGUGGGGGGUGGAAAGCUUUAUUGUGGUUUUGGAUGGACUCGCGGCCUAUCAGCUUGUUGGUGAGGUAAUGGCUUACCUAGGCGACGACGGGUAGCCGGCCUGAGAGGGUGACCGGCCACACUGGGACUGAGACACGGCCCAGACUCCUACGGGAGGCAG
rnacentral:rRNA from 1 species